GGAUCCAGACUUUGAUUAUGGCUCAUGAUGAACGCUGGCGGCGUGCUUAACACAUGCAAGUCGAACGGAGUUAUGGAGAGAGAGUGAGGUGCUUGCACCAAGUGAUCAUUUCAUAACUUAGUGGCGGACGGGUGAGUAACGCGUGGGUAACCUGCCAUAUACAGGGGGAUAACACUUAGAAAUAGGUGCUAAAACCGCAUAAGCGCACAGCUUCGCAUGAAGCAGUGUGAAAAACUCCGGUGGUAUAUGAUGGACCCGCGUCUGAUUAGCCAGUUGGCAGGGUAACGGCCUACCAAAGCGACGAUCAGUAGCCGGCCUGAGAGGGUGAACGGCCACAUUGGGACUGAGACACGGCCCAAACUCCUACGGGAGGCAGCAGUGGGGAAUAUUGCACAAUGGGGGAAACCCUGAUGCAGCGACGCCGCGUGAGUGAAGAAGUAUUUCGGUAUGUAAAGCUCUAUCAGCAGGGAAGAAAAUGACGGUACCUGAGUAAGAAGCCCCGGCUAACUACGUGCCAGCAGCCGCGGUAAUACGUAGGGGGCAAGCGUUAUCCGGAUUUACUGGGUGUAAAGGGAGCGUAGACGGCGAGACAAGUCUGAAGUGAAAACCCGGGGCUCAACCCUGGGACUGCUUUGGAAACUGCCUGGCUGGAGUGCAGGAGAGGUAAGUGGAAUUCCUAGUGUAGCGGUGAAAUGCGUAGAUAUUAGGAGGAACACCAGUGGCGAAGGCGGCUUACUGGACUGUAACUGACGUUGAGGCUCGAAAGCGUGGGGAGCAAACAGGAUUAGAUACCCUGGUAGUCCACGCCGUAAACGAUGAUCACUAGGUGUUGGGGGCCUACAGGCCUUCGGUGCCGUCGCAAACGCAAUAAGUGAUCCACCUGGGGAGUACGUUCGCAAGAAUGCAACUCAAAUGAAUUGACGG
rnacentral:rRNA from 1 species